rnacentral:rRNA from 1 species
UUUCGCAAUGCCCGAAAGGGUGACGAAGCGACGCCGCGUGUGGGAAGAAGGCCUUCGGGUUGUAAACCACUGUCGGGAGUUAGGAAAUGCAAGGAUGUUAAUAGCGUCUUUGCUUGACUAAGGCUCCGGAGGAAGCCACGGCUAACUCUGUGCCAGCAGCCGCGGUAAUACAGAGGCGGCAAGCGUUGUUCGGAAUUAUUGGGCGUAAAGAGCACGUAGGCGGCCGUGUAAGUCGGUUGUGAAAGCCUUCUGCUCAACGGGAGAACGGCAUCCGAUACUGCAUGGCUCGAGUGCGGGAGGGGAGAGUGGAACUUCUGGUGGAGCGGUGAAAUGCGUAGAUAUCAGAAGGAACACCGGCGGCGAAGGCGACUCUCUGGCCCGUAACUGACGCUGAGUGUGCGAAAGCUAGGGGAGCAAACGGGAUUAGAUACCCCGGUAGUCCUAGCCGUAAACGAUGGGCACUAAGUAGAGGGGUUUU